GGAGAGUUGGCAGAGUGGUCGAAUGCGGCGGUCUCGAAAACCGUUGUGGGCGCAAGCUCACCGAAGGUUCGAAUCCUUCACUCUCCGCCA
rnacentral:tRNA from 1 species